UACGAGGGGUGCAAGCGUUGCUCGGAAUUAUUGGGCGUAAAGGGUAGGUAGGUGGUCUGAUUUGUCAGGGGUGAAAGCCUUGGGCUUAACCCAAGAAGUGCCCCUGAAACGGUCAGACUGGAGUCUUUGGAGAGGGUCGUGGAAUUCCCGGUGUAGCGGUGAAAUGCGUAGAUAUAGGAAGGAACACCAGUGGCGAAGGCGACCACCUGGACUGAUACUGACACUGAGGUGCGAAGGCGUGGGGAGCGAACGGG
rnacentral:rRNA from 1 species